UUUAUAAGGCAAGAAGUCAAGAACGACAGGUGAAUUGAUUCUCUGUUGUCUAUUGCUUUGGCGUUUUGUCUCUCCAGCUUUUUUAACUUUUCCAUUAGAAUCCCAAUACGUGUUUCUAUCAUUCUAUGUUUAUCAUAAAACUAGAGUAAUUCCUGUGUCCAAUAUGGGAGAUUGUCACUAUAACAGAUUUACGAAGAUGAAAAUCUGAAAUUUAAAAAACAAGAUUAUCAAUUAACAACCAUGUUAUUCUUAAUCAUAAUAACUACGAAUCUCGUAAAUCUUGUUUGAUGAUUGAUAUCAAAUUUUGCAACUGUUCUGUAACGUCGUCUCUGUUAAUGUUGAAAAACUUUAUCCAGUCUUUCAUUGCUAUACCAAAAAGUUGGUCUAUUUGUUAAUCAAAAGUUUCAAUGGAAAUUGGUAUCAAUCCGUUGGUGCAAGAGUCAUGGUUGAAAGAAUUAGAAAACAAGAAACAUAUAUUAUUGUCUAUACAUAACUCUAUUAGAUGUUUUGCGGAGGAAGUAUAUAACUAUUGUUUUUGGGCAUUGAACUUUAAUUUCCCUCGUGUUACAAUGGUAGAUGUAAUCCAUUUCUGUUUUUGUAAAGUUACCAAAGCAAGUUCAGAGUACUCCAUUUCUGAUUUUGUAGAGUGGAAAAAAUGUUCAUGUGAUUGAACAUUAAAGAAUGUAACAACAGGAUCUCUUCAGUCCAGCAACCAUGCCCAGAAGAAUGUCGGCAAGAUUGAAC
rnacentral:lncRNA from 1 species